CCCUUAGAUGUUCUGGGCCGCACGCGCGCUACACUGAUGCAUUCAGCGAGUCUAAAACCUGCUCUGAUAGGGGUGGGUAAUCUUUUGAAUGUGCAUCGUGAUUGGGAUAGAUGAUUGCAAUUUUUCAUCUUCAACGAGGAAUGCCUAGUAAACGCAAGUCAUCAGCUUGCAUUGAUUACGUCCCUGCCCUUUGUACACACCGCCCGUCGCUCCUACCGAUUGAAUGAUCCGAUGAAUAUCAUGGAUUGAGGAUGCAAGCAGGUUCGCCUGUCUUCAUCUUCGAGAAGUGAAGUAAAUCUUAUCAUUUAGAGGAAGGAGAAGUCGUAACA
rnacentral:rRNA from 1 species